rnacentral:misc_RNA from 1 species
AGUCGUAUCUUGCUACCCUAUAGGACCCUAUCUUGUAAGACGUUACCUUAUAAGGUCCUAUCCGGUAGAGAGAUGCGGUACUACCUGCCGGUGGACUGAAAAAAAAAUUCUGUUUAAUAAAUGGUAUUCUGAAUCAUUAUAUGGAAAUUAAGUUAAAACUUUCAACAACGGAUCUCUUGGUUCUGGCAUCGAUGAAGAACGCAGCGAAAUGCGAUAAGUAAUGUGAAUUGCAGAAUUUAGUGAAUCAUCGAAUCUUUGAACGCACAUUGCGCCCAUUAGUAUUCUAGUGGGCAUGCCUGUUCGAGCGUCAUUUCAACCCCUUAAGCCUUGGUUGCUUAGUGUUGGAAGCCUACCGCAUUCUAUGCUGUAGCUUCUUAAAGUUAGUGGCGGAGUCGGUUCAUACUCUAGGCGUAGUAAAGAUUUUAUUCUCGCCUGUAGAGAUGAGCCGGUCCCCUGCCGUAAAACACCCCCCUAUUUUUUAUAAGGUUGACCUCGG